rnacentral:rRNA from 1 species
AGUGAACGCUGGCGGUAGGCCUAACACAUGCAAGUCGAACGGCAGCACAGUAAGAGCUUGCUCUUACGGGUGGCGAGUGGCGGACGGGUGAGGAAUACAUCGGAAUCUACUUUUUCGUGGGGGAUAACGUAGGGAAACUUACGCUAAUACCGCAUACGACCUACGGGUGAAAGCAGGGGAUCUUCGGACCUUGCGCGAUUGAAUGAGCCGAUGUCGGAUUAGCUAGUUGGCGGGGUAAAGGCCCACCAAGGCGACGAUCCGUAGCUGGUCUGAGAGGAUGAUCAGCCACACUGGAACUGAGGCACGGUCCAGACUCCUACGGGAGGCAGCAGUGGGGAAUAUUGGACAAUGGGCGCAAGCCUGAUCCAGCCAUACCGCGUGGGUGAAGAAGGCCUUCGGGUUGUAAAGCCCUUUUGUUGGCAAAGAAAAGCAGCAGGUUAAUACCCCGCUGCUCUGACGGUACCCAAAGAAUAAGCACCGGCUAACUUCGUG